GCCAUAAAUAUUGUCCUCUGUCCUCUUCAUUUCCGUUCUUGUGAGCGCUCCACAGGCAAAAGGUUCCACCAUACUUCAACAGGCUACUUUGGCUAGCUUGGAAUAGAAAAUAUUUACGACAAGCAUUUGUGGCAUUUUGAAUGGGAAAAGAAUUUGAGCUAAAGCUUCUAUGCUGCAUUUGUUCGGGGUGUGAGAGAAAAUUGAAGAAACAACUGCUGAAAAUACAAGGCGUGGAUUCAAUUGACAUAGACGGAGGAGGAAAGAAGGCAAAGAUUUCAGGAGAUGUGGUCCCACGAAUAGUCAUUGACGAGCUUCUAAAGCGUUGGAAAAGGGCUGAGCUUUUGUGAGACAGGAGAACGCUCAUCGAUUAGGGCUGCUAAACGACCCAACCUAGUUGAGUUUGAACUCGUGUUUGUUUGUUAAAAGUUUGUUUAAGAUUGAUUUGUUAUAGAAUCAAACCAAGCUUGAAAACAUUUAUUUGAAACUCGUUAAGAUUUCAAGUUAAGCUUGAACACGCUACUACUAGGCUAGCUUGUUUGGCUUAUACUAUGUAUAAAAAUUUUAAGCUACUUGAAAUCGACUCAUGUUUAACUUAAUUAAAGCUUGUUUGAAA